UACGGGGGGGGCAAGCGUUGUUCGGAAUUACUGGGCGUAAAGGGCUCGUAGGCGGCCAACUAAGUCAGACGUGAAAUCCCUCGGCUUAACCGGGGAACUGCGUCUGAUACUGGAUGGCUAGAGUGUGGGAGAGGGAUGCGGAAUUCCAGGUGUAGCGGUGAAAUGCGUAGAUAUCUGGAGGAACACCGGUGGCGAAGGCGGCAUCCUGGACCACGACUGACGCUGAGGAGCGAAAGCCAGGGGAGCAAACGGG
rnacentral:rRNA from 1 species